rnacentral:rRNA from 1 species
UACGAAGGGUGCAAGCGUUACUCGGAAUUACUGGGCGUAAAGCGUGCGUAGGUGGUUCGUUAAGUCUGUCGUGAAAGCCCCGGGCUCAACCUGGGAAUGGCGAUGGAAACUGGCGAGCUAGAGUACGGUAGAGGAGAGUGGAAUUCCCGGUGUAGCAGUGAAAUGCGUAGAGAUCGGGAGGAACAUCAGUUGCGAAGGCGGCUCUCUGGACCAGUACUGACGCUGAGGCACGAAAGCGUGGGGAGCAAACAGG